AUUGAACGCUGGCGGCAGGCCUAACACAUGCAAGUCGAACGGUAACAGGAAGAAGCUUGCUUCUUUGCUGACGAGUGGCGGACGGGUGAGUAAUGUCUGGGAAACUGCCUGAUGGAGGGGGAUAACUACUGGAAACGGUAGCUAAUACCGCAUAAUGCCGCAAGACCAAAGAGGGGGACCUUCGGGCCUCUUGCCAUCGGAUGUGCCCAGAUGGGAUUAGCUAGUAGGUGGGGUAACGGCUCACCUAGGCGACGAUCCCUAGCUGGUCUGAGAGGAUGACCAGCCACACUGGAACUGAGACACGGUCCAGACUCCUACGGGAGGCAGCAGUGGGGAAUAUUGCACAAUGGGCGCAAGCCUGAUGCAGCUAUGCCGCGUGUAUGAAGAAGGCCUUCGGGUUGUAAAGUACUUUCAGCGGGGAGGAAGGGAGUAAAGUUAAUACCUCUGCUCAUUGACGUUACCCGCAGAAGAAGCACCGGCUAACUCCGUG
rnacentral:rRNA from 1 species